rnacentral:sRNA from 1 species
GCCGGGCGUGGUGGCGCACGCCUGUAAUCCCAGCAGCUUGGGAGGCUGAGGCAGGAGGAUCAGGAGCUCAAAGCCAGCCUCAG